GACGAACGCUGGCGGCGCGCCUAACACAUGCAAGUCGAACGGAGCUUAGAGAGCUUGCUUUUUAAGCUUAGUGGCGAACGGGUGAGUAACGCGUGAGUAACCUGCCCUAGAGUGGGGGACAACAGUUGGAAACGACUGCUAAUACCGCAUAAGCCCACGGUGCCGCAUGACACUGAGGGAAAAGGAUUUAUUCGCUUUAGGAUGGACUCGCGUCCAAUUAGCUAGUUGGUGAGGUAACGGCCCACCAAGGCGACGAUUGGUAGCCGGACUGAGAGGUUGAACGGCCACAUUGGGACUGAGACACGGCCCAGACUCCUACGGGAGGCAGCAGUGGGGGAUAUUGCACAAUGGGGGAAACCCUGAUGCAGCGACGCCGCGUGGAGGAAGAAGGUUUUCGGAUUGUAAACUCCUGUCGUUAGGGACGAUAAUGACGGUACCUAACAAGAAAGCACCGGCUAACUACGUGCCAGCAGCCGCGGUAAAACGUAGGGUGCAAGCGUUGUCCGGAAUUACUGGGUGUAAAGGGAGCGCAGGCGGGAAGACAAGUUGGAAGUGAAAACCAUGGGCUCAACCCAUGAAUUGCUUUCAAAACUGUUUUUCUUGAGUAGUGCAGAGGUAGAUGGAAUUCCCGGUGUAGCGGUGGAAUGCGUAGAUAUCGGGAGGAACACCAGUGGCGAAGGCGGUCUACUGGGCACCAACUGACGCUGAGGCUCGAAAGCAUGGGUAGCAAACAGGAUUAGAUACCCUGGUAGUCCAUGCCGUAAACGAUGAUUACUAGGUGUUGGGGGAUUGACCCCCUCAGUGCCGCAGUUAACACAAUAAGUAAUCCACCUGGGGAGUACGACCGCAAGGUUGAAACUCAAAGGAAUUGACGGGGGCCCGCACAAGCGGAGGAACAUGUGGUUUAAUUCGAUGAUACGCGAGGAACCUUACCCGGGCUUAAAUUGCAACCGAAUAUGGCGGAAACGCUAUAGCUAGCAAUAGCGGUUGUGAAGGUGCUGCAUGGUUGUCGUCAGCUCGUGCCGUGAGGUGUCGGCUUAAGUGCCAUAACGAGCGCAACCCUUGCCGAUAGUUACUAACAGGUUAUGCUGAGGACUCUGUCGGGACUGCCAUCGUAAGAUGUGAGGAAGGUGGGGAUGACGUCAAAUCAGCACGGCCCUUACGUCCGGGGCUACACACGUGUUACAAUGGGGGGUACAGAGGGCUGCUACCACGCAAGUGGAUGCCAAUCCCAAAAACCUCUCUCAGUUCGGAUUGAAGUCUGCAACCCGACUUCAUGAAGCUGGAUUCGCUAGUAAUCGCGCAUCAGCCACGGCGCGGUGAAUACGUUCCCGGGCCU
rnacentral:rRNA from 1 species